AGCGAACGCUGGCGGCAGGCCUAACACAUGCAAGUCGAGCGCCCAGCAAUGGGAGCGGCAGACGGGUGAGUAACACGUGGGGAUCUACCCAAUGGUACGGAAUAACCCAGGGAAACUUGGAUUAAUACCGUAUGUGCCCUUCGGGGGAAAGAUUUAUCGCCAUUGGAUGAACCCGCGUCGGAUUAGCUAGUUGGUGAGGUAAAGGCUCACCAAGGCGACGAUCCGUAGCUGGUCUGAGAGGAUGAUCAGCCACACUGGGACUGAGACACGGCCCAGACUCCUACGGGAGGCAGCAGUGGGGAAUAUUGGACAAUGGGCGCAAGCCUGAUCUAGCCAUGCCGCGUGAGUGAUGAAGGCCUUAGGGUUGUAAAGCUCUUUCGCCGGUGAAGAUAAUGACGGUAACCGGAGAAGAAGCCCCGGCUAACUUCGUGCCAGCAGCCGCCGUAAAAC
rnacentral:rRNA from 1 species